UAGCGCGGUGGUCCCACCUGACCCCAUGCCGAACUCAGAAGUGAAACGCCGUAGCGCCGAUGGUAGUGUGGGGUCUCCCCAUGCGAGAGUAGGGAACUGCC
rnacentral:rRNA from 1 species